GGUUAAGCGACUAAGCGUACACGGUGGAUGCCCUGGCAGUCAGAGGCGAUGAAGGACGUGCUAAUCUGCGAUAAGCGUCGGUAAGGUGAUAUGAACCGUUAUAACCGGCGAUUUCCGAAUGGGGAAACCCAGUGUGAUUCGUCACACUAUCAUUAACUGAAUCCAUAGGUUAAUGAGGCGAACCGGGGGAACUGAAACAUCUAAGUACCCCGAGGAAAAGAAAUCAACCGAGAUUCCCCCAGUAGCGGCGAGCGAACGGGGAGCAGCCCAGAGCCUGAAUCAGUGUGUGUGUUAGUGGAAGCGUCUGGAAAGGCGCGCGAUACAGGGUGACAGCCCCGUACACAAAAAUGCACAUACUGUGAGCUCGAUGAGUAGGGCGGGACACGUGGUAUCCUGUCUGAAUAUGGGGGGACCAUCCUCCAAGGCUAAAUACUCCUGACUGACCGAUAGUGAACCAGUACCGUGAGGGAAAGGCGAAAAGAACCCCGGCGAGGGGAGUGAAAAAGAACCUGAAACCGUGUACGUACAAGCAGUGGGAGCACGCUUAGGCGUGUGACUGCGUACCUUUUGUAUAAUGGGUCAGCGACUUAUAUUCUGUAGCAAGGUUAACCGAAUAGGGGAGCCGAAGGGAAACCGAGUCUUAACUGGGCGUUAAGUUGCAGGGUAUAGACCCGAAACCCGGUGAUCUAGCCAUGGGCAGGUUGAAGGUUGGGUAACACUAACUGGAGGACCGAACCGACUAAUGUUGAAAAAUUAGCGGAUGACUUGUGGCUGGGGUGAAAGGCCAAUCAAACCGGGAGAUAGCUGGUUCUCCCCGAAAGCUAUUUAGGUAGCGCCUCGUGAAUUCAUCUCCGGGGGUAGAGCACUGUUUCGGCAAGGGGGUCAUCCCGACUUACCAACCCGAUGCAAACUGCGAAUACCGGAGAAUGUUAUCACGGGAGACACACGGCGGGUGCUAACGUCCGUCGUGAAGAGGGAAACAACCCAGACCGCCAGCUAAGGUCCCAAAGUCAUGGUUAAGUGGGAAACGAUGUGGGAAGGCCCAGACAGCCAGGAUGUUGGCUUAGAAGCAGCCAUCAUUUAAAGAAAGCGUAAUAGCUCACUGGUCGAGUCGGCCUGCGCGGAAGAUGUAACGGGGCUAAACCAUGCACCGAAGCUGCGGCAGCGACGCUUAUGCGUUGUUGGGUAGGGGAGCGUUCUGUAAGCCUGCGAAGGUGUGCUGUGAGGCAUGCUGGAGGUAUCAGAAGUGCGAAUGCUGACAUAAGUAACGAUAAAGCGGGUGAAAAGCCCGCUCGCCGGAAGACCAAGGGUUCCUGUCCAACGUUAAUCGGGGCAGGGUGAGUCGACCCUAAGGCGAGGCCGAAAGGCGUAGUCGAUGGGAAACAGGUUAAUAUUCCUGUACUUGGUGUUACUGCGAAGGGGGGACGGAGAAGGCUAUGUUGGCCGGGCGACGGUUGUCCCGGUUUAAGCGUGUAGGCUGGUUUUCCAGGCAAAUCCGGAAAAUCAAGGCUGAGGCGUGAUGACGAGGCACUACGGUGCUGAAGCAACAAAUGCCCUGCUUCCAGGAAAAGCCUCUAAGCAUCAGGUAACAUCAAAUCGUACCCCAAACCGACACAGGUGGUCAGGUAGAGAAUACCAAGGCGCUUGAGAGAACUCGGGUGAAGGAACUAGGCAAAAUGGUGCCGUAACUUCGGGAGAAGGCACGCUGAUAUGUAGGUGAAGUCCCUCGCGGAUGGAGCUGAAAUCAGUCGAAGAUACCAGCUGGCUGCAACUGUUUAUUAAAAACACAGCACUGUGCAAACACGAAAGUGGACGUAUACGGUGUGACGCCUGCCCGGUGCCGGAAGGUUAAUUGAUGGGGUCAGCGCAAGCGAAGCUCUUGAUCGAAGCCCCGGUAAACGGCGGCCGUAACUAUAACGGUCCUAAGGUAGCGAAAUUCCUUGUCGGGUAAGUUCCGACCUGCACGAAUGGCGUAAUGAUGGCCAGGCUGUCUCCACCCGAGACUCAGUGAAAUUGAACUCGCUGUGAAGAUGCAGUGUACCCGCGGCAAGACGGAAAGACCCCGUGAACCUUUACUAUAGCUUGACACUGAACAUUGAGCCUUGAUGUGUAGGAUAGGUGGGAGGCUUUGAAGUGUGGACGCCAGUCUGCAUGGAGCCGACCUUGAAAUACCACCCUUUAAUGUUUGAUGUUCUAACGUUGACCCGUGAUCCGGGUUGCGGACAGUGUCUGGUGGGUAGUUUGACUGGGGCGGUCUCCUCCUAAAGAGUAACGGAGGAGCACGAAGGUUGGCUAAUCCUGGUCGGACAUCAGGAGGUUAGUGCAAUGGCAUAAGCCAGCUUGACUGCGAGCGUGACGGCGCGAGCAGGUGCGAAAGCAGGUCAUAGUGAUCCGGUGGUUCUGAAUGGAAGGGCCAUCGCUCAACGGAUAAAAGGUACUCCGGGGAUAACAGGCUGAUACCGCCCAAGAGUUCAUAUCGACGGCGGUGUUUGGCACCUCGAUGUCGGCUCAUCACAUCCUGGGGCUGAAGUAGGUCCCAAGGGUAUGGCUGUUCGCCAUUUAAAGUGGUACGCGAGCUGGGUUUAGAACGUCGUGAGACAGUUCGGUCCCUAUCUGCCGUGGGCGCUGGAGAAUUGAGGGGGGCUGCUCCUAGUACGAGAGGACCGGAGUGGACGCAUCACUGGUGUUCGGGUUGUCAUGCCAAUGGCACUGCCCGGUAGCUAAAUGCGGAAGAGAUAAGUGCUGAAAGCAUCUAAGCACGAAACUUGCCCCGAGAUGAGUUCUCCCUGACCCUUUAAGGGUCCUGAAGGAACGUUGAAGACGACGACGUUGAUAGGCCGGGUGUGUAAGCGCAGCGAUGCGUUGAGCUAACCGGUACUAAUGAACCGUGAGGCUUAACCUU
rnacentral:rRNA from 1 species